rnacentral:rRNA from 1 species
GAUGAACGCUAGCGAUAGGCCUAACACAUGCAAGUCGAGGGGCAGCAUAGGGUAGCAAUACUUUGAUGGCGACCGGCGCACGGGUGAGUAACACGUAUGCAACCUACCUACAUCAGGGGAAUAACCCGGAGAAAUUCGGACUAAUACCGCAUAAUACAGGGAUUCCGCAUGGAAAUAUUUGUUAAAGAUUUAUCGGAUGUAGAUGGGCAUGCGUUCCAUUAGAUAGUUGGUGAGGUAACGGCUCACCAAGUCAGCGAUGGAUAGGGGAACUGAGAGGUUUGUCCCCCACACUGGAACUGAGACACGGACCAGACUCCUACGGGAGGCAGCAGUGAGGAAUAUUGGUCAAUGGGCGAGAGCCUGAACCAGCCAAAUCGCGUGAAGGAAGACUGCCCUACGGGUUGUAAACUUCUUUUAUACAGGAAUAAAAAGAGGGACGUGUCCCUUAUUGCAUGUACUGUAUGAAUAAGCAUCGGCUAACUCCGUGCCAGCAGCCGCCGUAAAAC